rnacentral:rRNA from 1 species
AUUGAACUCUGGCGGCAGGCUUAACCCAUGCAAGUCGAGCGAGCGGCGGACGGGUGAGUAAUGUCUGGGAAACUGCCUGAUGGAGGGGGAUAACUACUGGAAACGGUAGCUAAUACCGCAUACCCUCAGAUGUGCCCAGAUGGGAUUCGCGAGUAGGUGGGGUAAUGGCUCACCUAGGCGACGAUCCCUAGCUGGUCUGAGAGGAUGACCAGCCACACGGGAACGGAGACACGGUCCAGACUCCUGAGGGAGGCAGCAGUGGGGAAUAUGGCACAAUGGGCGCAAGCCUGAUGCAGCCAUGCCGCGUGUGUGAAGAAGGCCUUCGGGUUGUAGAGCACUGUCAGCGAGGAGGCGUUACUCGCAGAAGAAGCACCGGCUAACUCAGUGCCAGCCGCCGCGGUAAUUC